rnacentral:rRNA from 1 species
AUGUGCUCUGGUUUGUGGAUUCAACGGGAUGACAGUCGCAAAACCGCUGUUGUUUUGACGUCUGCUCAUCUGAUUCGCGCAAAGGAUCCUUCCAAGAUGGACCCGUGGUUGGAGGAGUGGACAGGCAAAUAUCACCGUGAGGCUAAGGUCAUUGUUCACUUGCUAGACAACACAACCGUACUAGGCCAGCUCCUCUACCUGCAGGAGCAUUAUGAAUUUGCUCUUUAUGAGGUUGAAGUUGACAAACCAGUUGAGCUGCCCACUUUCAUUGAUAGUGUGCGUUCUGGUCAAGAUGUUUUCCGACUUGGAAGAGAUGAAAAUCUGGAUCUAACAAUAACCCAUGGUAGGGUGGAAUACAUGGUUCCAGAUUGGUAUGAGAGGUGUCAUUACAUGUAUUUUUCCCGUGAUACAAGUCACAGUAUGUUUCAGGACGAUGGAGGGCUCAUCAUUGAUUUAGAAGGGAGGGUUGUGGGUCUCGUUAACAAUCACAUUAAUGAGACUUUUGUACCUUCUUCAAUAUUGCAUAAGUGCUUUGAUUUCUGGAGGAGGUUCAAGUGUAUACCUCGGCUCCACCUUGGAAUGACUUUUACUUCUAUCAGACUUUUAGACCCAAUUUGUAUUGAGAGGAUGAGACGUAAGCAUAGCAUCGAGUUUGGUCUUAUUGUUGAGAAGGUCUCAAAAGGAUCAUAUGCUGAGAAACUUGGAAUCAACAAGGGUGAUGUUAUUGAAGGUUUUAAUGGAAAAUAUAUUUCUACUACAAUUGAGUUGGAAAAUAUGUUGAUAGACAUAUGUUGGGAUCACUUCGACCAAGGAAAUGAAUUAAAUGAAGAAAAACAUGUUUCGGUAAAAAUAUUUGAUGCUACCAAACUUAGCCGGAAAACUAAAAACUUAACCGUAAUUGUAUCUGAUCAUGGAGAAGACAUUGUAAAAGGCACUUACCCUAUCACGGGAAAAUAA